rnacentral:lncRNA from 1 species
UUGUCUUUGGGCAGUGUAAUUACUGGUAAUUUUUAUUUUCACAAGCUUUCUGACACACAGAUUAAUUUUAUAGCCAGAAAAAGGUUAUCACAACAUAUUGCUAAAUGAAAAUGAUUAUCAAACAGAAACACAGAACACGAUCCCGCAUUUGUUGUUUAAAAAUAUACGUGCAUAUAAAAAUACUAAGAUAUAUAACAAAAUAUAAAAUAACUCCAUUUGAGUAGUGGAAUUGUAAAGUUUUAUUCAUUAUUUUCUAAAUUCAUUAUAAUAAAAACAUCACUUUUGUAAAAUAAAAUUAUGUUAAGGGGGGGAAAGUGCUGUGCUUUGUUAGGCAGGGCCGCCUAUCUCCUGACGGCAACUAACGUGACCUGUUACUGUAGGUCUACUUCUCAUCCUAGUCUUUCUUCCUGUUUCUUCACCUCUUGCUCCCAAACCCAUCUAAAUCUGCACUUUCUGCUGCUUAGCUCUGAACUGCCCCAGAAACGGUUCAGGCCACCGUCAUGGUCCAGGUGAGAGACAUGGAAUGGCACAAGGCGGCGGUACUACAGAUGGAGAGGCUGGGCCGGACUGGGGGGAUCUUUCUAAGAUGGAAGACUUUAGAACCUGGUGGUGAAGGAGAGGGAGAAGCAGAGAUUUCUCAUCUCAAGAGCUGGGUGGGUGGUGGCCAAGACUAUAGGAGAGAAGCAAGUACAGACAAGUUGAGUGUGACACAGCUGCAGUCCUGGGGGGCGGCGGGGGGGGGUGUCCGAUGGGUGGUUAGGUACAUGGAUUUUGAAAGUUCAGGGAAGGUCUAGAUUGGGGCAUGCUGAGUGUAGGAGUGAGCAGUACGGAAGUCCCGGAGUGGAGCAGGGCAGCCGUGAGUGGGAGAAAAGGGCAAACAAGGUCUGUGGAUAGAAUCUUUGGGAUUCGCCCUUUAAGAAGUGAGGGGGCCUCUUAAAAAAGAAGGGUAGGCAGCAACCAGGCUUCAGUAGCUGAAAUAAACAAGUUAGGAAAGUGGAGACAGCAAAUAUUUAGACAGUUCUAACACUUGGUGGUAGAAGAGGUCACAAACUGAUGGUCUACCAGGUUUCUAUAAAAUACUGAAUUCCUUGUCAGGAUUUACAAUUAAAUAAAUUUCUCAAGGUUCCCAUUGUGGUGCAGUGGAAACGAAUCCAACCAGCAUCCAUGAGCUGUGGUGUAGGUCACAGAUGCGGCUUGGAUCCCACGUUGAUGUGGUUGUGGAAUAGCCGGCAGCCAUAGCUCCGAUUUGAUCCCUAGCCUGGGAACUUCCACAUGCUAUGGGUGCAGGCCUAGAAAGCAAACAACAACAAAAAACCCCAAAAAACUCAUACAUCUGGAUUUCUGGCUUCCCUCAAAAAAUCAGAAGACUCAGGGAGUUCCCUGGUGGUCCAGUGGUUAGGAUUUGGCCCCUUUACCACUAAGGCCUGGGUUUAAUCCCUGGUCUGGGAACUGAAAUCCCACAACGAGUGGCUGCAUGCUGAGGCCAAAAAAACCCCCAGAAGACCUAUCAACACUGGGCAGCUAUUUCUCCAUGGCAAUAACAAGCAGGAAUUGAAUAAAAAGCUGCCUCCUUUUAGUUGGAGCAUGAGUUCUAGCCCUUCUUGCUCUCGGUGUAGAAGAUGAGGAAAUAUUUCCCUUUGUGAAUGAAAACCCUCCUUAGUGCUCAUCUAUUGUUCACUGAGAUACAGGCCAGAGUUUGGUCCAUAAGCCCCCAUAUUUGGACCUGAAGGCAGGAAUCCUGGGACAAACAUAUCUGAAUUAGGGAUCCUGACAGGACUGGGAAUCCUCUUAUCCAGGAAGAGAUGUCAAGCUUCUAGAAUUACAAAUUGACGGGAGCAGGCCCUGCCUCACCCACUGUCCCAGGCUCAAGAGUACACUCUGGGCAGCCUUCUCUUUUAGAGCAGCAGCAGCAAAAGUGUUCCCUGAGAGUGGGCUGGCCACUGGACCCAGUCAAGCCUCCCCAGCUGGGAAUUUCCUGGUUCUAGCUCUUAGACCCUGGGCCACACGCCCUGAAUGGGUCCACCAGAUGGCAGGCAGCCUUUCCUUUCCUACAGAUGUACCCAGUCCAUUCCCCAACCUGAGGAAAAUGAUUUGCUAUUCUUCUGACUCUUGUUACCUUAUCCAGCAAGCUCAGAAAGUACAUCAGUUUCACAUUCUCUAAGUGAAAUAUCUGGUGCUGCUUAUUAAAAAAAAAAAAAAAAAAAAAAAAAAACGAAAAAAAACACCCGUCUUCCAUUAUUAUACAAUUAUGUAUCAUCAGAGGUAUUAUCUAAUUAUGUUAUUUUACAUUGAUUCUGAUCCAACACGUGCUUGCACUAGACAUUUUAUUUUGUGGUUUCACUAUCUACUUAAUUAUCUGUAUGACUGCCAAAUACAAAAUUCUAUAAAGAUUUGGUAGCAUAAGUUGAGAACUAAUUAUAAGCAAUUUCACUUAUUAAAUCUUGUUCAUUGAUCAUAGGCUAGAAAAUAGUAUUACCUUCAAGUGCUCAACUGUGAAGUUGGGUAGAAGGUACUUUUUCUCUCUUCCCUGUGUCAUAUAAUUGAAAGCUCCUUCCCUAGAGAGGGGUCAAAUGAGCCCAGGAGUGCAUUUCUACUCUAAGGAGCACUUGUUAUAAAUCUUGAGAUCUGGUAUGAGAUCCCAAUUCUGAUCUGAGUUCAAUUCUCCCCUCUGAGACUUAGCUCUGUGAACAACCUUAGGGAAAGUCACUUAAGCUCUCUGAGCUUCCGCUUCUUCAAGCAACCACACAGGGACCCCACCCCUCUCUGCAGGAUUACUAAGUGAGACAGUUUAUGAAGAGGACAGCCAAGCAAUAUUGGUGUCCCUCCAGUAUAUGGCAGCUUGGAUCUUGCCCUUGGUCAGAGAGCGGCAGUCUACAUCUGCAGCUACGCACUUGAAAUCUUGGCCUUUUCACUUGAGUUGCUUGGUAGACUUUCGGACCAAAAAUUGAAAACUCUAGGGAAACUAAGAGGAGAUGAGCAAGUUGAAAAGCCUACUCUUUAUUGACGGACUUUUCGAGGUGCUUUAGUGUUUCUCUCACUUAACUGCUGUGACCAUGCUGGGAAGCAAGAAUUCUUCAUCUUUUGUAAUGAGAAAGCCAAGUCUUAAUGAGACUGACUUACCCUGGAAGUGGAAGUGGAAUGUAGACCCAGGCCUGAUGGACUGUCAAGUCUGUGCUCGUCUGUGUUUGCCAUUCGCGUAGGGUGACUGGAAAAGCAUCUGGGAGUUAUACAUCCCCUGUCCUCUUGUGAGCAUCACAUACAAGCCAAUUCUGCCAAGUGCACCUGCACUCUCUGGGCCGCUCCUCCUAAUCUCGGUUCUCUGGCUCAUAAUAAGCACCAUGGAGUUCCCAUCGUGGCUCAUCAGUUAACAAACCUGACUAGUAUCCGAGAGGAUGUGGGUUCGAUCCCUGGCCUCACUCAUUGCGUUAAAGAUCCACCGUUGCUGUGAGCUGUGGUGUAGGUCGCAGACAUGACUUGGAUCCUGUGUUGCUGUGGCUGUGGUGUAGGCUGCAAGUUACAGCUCUGAUUGGACCCCUAGCCUGGGAACCUCCAUAUGCCUCGAGUGCGACCCUAAAAAGACAGAAAGACAGGAAGAGAAAGAAAGAAAGAAAGACAGAAAGAAAAACAGAAAGACAAAAAGACGACAGAAAGAAAGACAGACAGAAAGACAGAAAGAAAGAAAGAAAGAAAGAAAGAAAGAAAGAAAGAAAGAAAGAAAG